rnacentral:lncRNA from 10 species
CUAUCCAAGACAUCCAGUGCCUUAGGGCUCAGGGCUGAGACAGAGCGCGUGCCAACUGCACCUGCGCGGGGACUGAGUUCUCGGAGAAGGGACCCAAUAGGUAAAUGACUCCAGAAGGUCUUCUCCCAGCAGCCAGAAUAAGACAGGAAAUGAAGCCGCUUUAUUGACAAGAAUGGGUUUCAUUCUGGCAACCUUGAUUAACACAAGAGGAUAUUGAAAGGAUUUGAAGAAAGUUAUCCCGCUGAUUCCUUAACAAGAUGAAAAGAAAAUAAGGCAGAAAAUUCUCCAGCAGAGCUGAGGCAAGAAGUGCUCAUAUUUAAAAUCCCAUUUGCUUGCCUAGCCCCUUGGUGACCUCUGUGCUGUGGGUAACAUUCACUGCCUCCAGGAAAGCCGAGGUCGGUGGGUGCAGUGGGUAGGCGGGAAUGCUGGUGGGUGAGCACCUCUUUCCCUCAUCAUCUACCAUCCAUCAGAGGCCUGUCUCCCCUGAUUCUUAUCUGACACUCAUUUGCACUGCUUGGAGAGAAGGUGCAAGGAACUAGGAGAAGAUGCUCAAAAAAACACGGAUCAGGAAGAUGACUGCAGCAUUGGAGAAACCAGGCAUUGAUUUUGUGGACCUCUGGGGAAGAGCUCUUGGGUGCUCUUACAAGGAUGACGAGGGCUGUGUUGAUCUUGGGAGAUGCCACUAAGGGGUUAGGGGUCAAAAGAAUUAAAUUGCAGAGGCUUAGGUGUCAAAAUAAAGAGGAACCAAGAAACAAAAUCAUGCAGAGCUUUCCAAACUACACUCUUAGCAUUUAGUCUUAGCCUUCCGUUAAAACAGCUAAGACAAGGCACAUACCACUGCAUUAUAAACCUGUUGUAGCAGUCAUGACCAUUUCACGGAGUAAUACCAACUUGCCAAAAGGAUUGACUCAGAGUUAAAUAGUGAAGGGAGGGAAGUGGCUAUCUUUUGACUCUAUAACAUAUUCGUCUUAAUAUCAUGAUGUUAUCUUUGAAAUUCUUAAAUUUCAAUAAUAUCAUUAUAGUGACAAUUUUAUGAGUUGGGUGUUGGAUUCUCACAAUCACUGAAAGGUUUAGUUGGGUGACUUUAGCUCUUUUUGGCAGCAGUUUAACAAUAGUAACUAUGUCGCUUUACUAUUUAAGAUAUUUCCUGAACACUAGCUCACUUCUUAACAACUUGGUGAGAUUGUUUUUCUGACUUUCCCACUUUACAGCUGAGGAAACUGAGGCUCAGGGAAAGAGAACUGGCACUUGCUUUUGACCCCAAAUCCUGGCUCUCCUGGCUGCUCUGUGAAAUCCUAAAUCAUGGUAACCCUGGAUACCACCAUACCAGCUUUGGUUGCAUGAUAGAAUUAAGGCCAAUAGCAUCUAUGCUGCAGUGAAGGCAUGGAUGGGAAACUCGCAGUGAAGGAGAGUGUAAUUCAUUGAAAUGACAAAUACAUUGCAUCUGUGCUAUAAACUAUGACUGAAAUGCUUCCUGCUCUCCUUAAGGAAGUGAAUAAGGAAUCGUGAGACUACUCCGACAGCUAGACGUUGCUUUUGGCUGAGGUGGAGGCAGAAAGAACAGCACAGUGCCAGCCCCACAAGCAGGAGCUGCUAAGGCAGGGACAAACUUGGAGAAGGUGCUGCCAAGCCUUGUGGGGAGGCCCAGGACACAUUCUCCCCUGGGUACCAUUGGAGGACUUCUUGUAAAUCUCCAGGUUAUGGUAGAUGAGGAUGCCAGGUGCCAACUCUCAGAUGAACCAGCAGAUUGGGGCUGUAGGUCAGAGAUUUUGCUAAAGGUUAAUGAAAUCUCCUUGGGAUGGUGGCAGUUGGAGGAAUGGACUCACCUUUUCCCAUGAGCAGGAUGUUUAUCAUACUAAACACCAACGACUAACUGUUAUGUAAACCUUCUGUGAGGGGAUCCUGUUUAGACUUUGUUCAACAGGAUUUAUUUCUGACUCAUUAGUGGAAAGACUUAUGUUUGUUUUUGUUUUUUUUCACCUAAAAUUACUAUCAUUGUAUAAUUUACAAUAUACACAGGCUUUUUCUUUUAUUUUGUCUUAAUAAAUCUUCAAAAUAAUCCUGUGAAAUAGGUACCAUCUCCAUUUUUCCAUAUCCCACACAAUCUAGACAUUUUAAAAAAUCAAUCACAGUAAUAGUGACAAGUCAGAUUUUCCUAGUUAUGCCUCCAUUCACUACUUCAGGACCUCCAGCAUUUUCCUGAUGCUACUUCAUGACUCAGAAACGACUUCCAAACCCAGCACCUCAGUCACAGGGUGGAGAUGGGGAAUUGGCAUUUAUAUUCCAUUAUUCCAUUCCACCUUAUUUUCUUGGUGACUUCUUGUGUGACAGGGCUGGAAAGAUUUUUUUAAAUGCCUUUUAAGACUGUCUUGCAGCUAGGGUGCUGGAUGGUUUGUUUAUGACGAACUUGCAUGAUUUGGAAGAUGGAAGUGUGGCAGGGGCUACUGCCUGUGGCUUUAGCUGCAGCUCCUGGAGCUACUGUCCUGGAGAUGAUGCUGGGCUGCCUGACUCAGCAUCCAGGGUCCAGCCACUAGCUUCAGUGGUGCUGAGAAGCAAGUGUGGUUCUGUGCCUGCCGGAUGUGUGUUCUUGAGCUCCACCACUCGGGAGCUGCUUAGCAGAGGUAGACUGUUCUCCAGUGGGCCAGUUUAUUGCUGUCCUGAGAGUUAUCCUACUCACAGGCUCUCCCAAAGAUUCUGCAAAUUCCUAAUUCCUGUUAUUGAAUCCUUUUUUUGCUGAAAGUAGCUAGAAUAUUUUCAGUUUCAUGCACCUGAACCCUGGUGGAUACAUGUCCACCCCUCCCAGUGCUGCUGGGUCUGGGAGUCCCCACAAGUGUGUCCUGUCUGCCUAUAGUCACAGCCAUCUCACCUCCAGGUGACAGUGGUCAUACCCACCAAACUUUCUUCUGCCCCAG